UCCCUAAGCUUCCAGUUGGCCUCCUGGAACGCUAGUCCCCAUCAAUCGGCCUCUUUCCGCACUGUUCUCCUGUUCUCCGUAACUGACAGCUCCAUCCUCCAUGACUCAGCUUUUCUGUUUCCCAUCACUUGGCCUCUCCAUCCCCCUGUCACUCGGUCUCUACGACCAUCAGGCUGUGUGUCUGGUUCUUAGAACCUGUGGCGCCCCCCCUCCUCUCCCAGCAAUCAGCCUCCCCCUGCCUCAUUGCUCAGUCUCUCCACCCCUCCUCACUGCCGCUUUCCCCUACUCCCCCAAACCCCUCCCCUCUGUCUCUCCCAGUUCCUCACCCUGGCAGCCGGCUCCGUGGGGCUGCAGCCUGGUACCCAGCGGGGCACACGCACAGGAAGCUGCCCGGCGUGUUCUCGCACCGCCCGCGGUCACACGGCGGGGGCACGCGGUGGCACUCGUCCACGUCUGCAGGCACCAACCCGGAGGGUAGCCAUUCAUCCCUGCUUGUGGUAACAGUACCCUGAUUCGCCUUCCAGAAACUCCUCCAGUCUGUCAACAUGGGGCUGAUUUCACCUCCUGGCGUGUGAGGGCAGGUGACCCUUGGAACAGUGGAAGGCCUCCAUCACAUGCGCUACAGUGAUUGGUUCAGGGGACAGCCAUCUGACUAAAUUCAAGCCACUAAGAAUCAGUCAUGUGAUUUUUAUUAUUAUUAUUAUUAUUAUUAUUUUUUGCUGCUGCUGCUAGAGAAAGAGAAAAAAAAAGAAGUUGCUAAGGAGGUACCUGGAGUCAUCUUGGCACCCAGAAGGGAAAACCUGACUGAGAAUGAUGCAUCCCAGAGGCAGGCAAACCCAGAAGAUGGAAAGACAUUCUGGAAGAGUUUUUGAAUCCCUGGAUCCAACUAUGCCUGAAGCCAGGGGACAUGACCCAGCUGGUAUCGUGCCUUCUUCCUCUGACCACCGCCACCCCCCACCUUGGCCCCCCUGCUGGAUGGGACCGUCCUCACCGCUGACCAGUGGAUGAAAGGCGUACAAAGAGCUGGCUGGCGCUUGGCACCACCUUCUGAAUGAACACUUGCUGGUCAUCCCGCUCGCCGUAUGGGCCUGGGCCAGGACAGUGUUGGGGGUGGGAGUCAGGGCCACCUGGGUAGCCUGCGACUCUGGGCCCCAAGGCUCUGCCUCCUUCCCCACGGAUGAAUCCCUCUCAGGACCCUACGUCCCCAUUCCCAGGUUUCUGGAAUUGGGCGAGCUCCAAGAAGAUUGGGGGUCAGCCACCGGUCAGCGGAGUUCAGGGAUGUGGGGUGGGGGUCCUGGAUCAGGUGGCAGUCAGAGGAAUUGAUGGGGUAACAGAAUUCAAUGGUGGGGUGGGGCAGCUGGGAGUGAAUGGACGUCA